UAUGGGGGACCUUUGGGAUAGCAUUGAAAAUGUAAACAAGGAAAAUACCUAAUUUAAAAAAGAAAGAAAGAAAGAAAAGCUAGUGAAAAUGUAAACUAUAAAGAAAAAAAUCUUCUCUUAACAUUUUAUUUAUAGAUUAAAAUAUACAGACAUAGUUGCUAUGUUGGCUAAUUGGCUAAACUUUCGUUUUGUAUAUGGAUCUGUUGGUGGCUGUUUGUCCAGGAAGAGAACUUUCUUCCUUUUUCUAUAGGAAAUUAUUUUUUCAUUUUUUUUCUCUUCUGUCAGUUUCUGUUAAGGACUGCAAUAUGCUGCUUAUGUUUCUUGCCUCUAUCCUUGAUUUUUUAUGUUCACUUUGUAGAGCUUCCAGACACGGAUUCUUUGUGUCCUGCAGUUCUCUUACAGACUUUCUUUUUUUCAUCUCAAAUGCUUUCCAACAUUGGUGCUUAAAACAUGUUUCGUAGCUGCAAAGUUAAACCAACUAGGAAUUCAUCUUUGUGUUUCUCUCUCUAGUAUAGAAGUAUUAAUUUUUGCCCAUAGUGUACAAAACUACAGAAAAUAGAAAUUGUAAAUAGGCUCUUCAUAUAAUACAAUAGUUAAUUUGCAAAUGGUAGAAACUUUAUUGAAUCAAUAUAUCAGAUUGGUAAAUUAUACUUGGUGUCUGUGUAAUGUUUCCCUAUAGGUUAUUUUAACCAGAAAAGUCUGAAAAGUAGGUAAAGUUAAAUUGUCUUCUUACAAAUUACAGUUGUAAAACUACAGCUGCAAAUUACCUGUUUAGUUGUGUAAAGGCAAAUGAGCUUAGCUUUAGGUACACCUGAUCCCUAGGGUUUUUUGUUUGUUUGUUUGUUUUGGUUUUUUUUUUUGUUUUUUUUUUUUUUAACUGUAGCUGUCUUCAGACACACCAGAAGAGGACAUCAGAUCCCAUUACAGAUGGUUGUGAGCCACCAUGUGGUUGCUGGGAUUUGAACUCAGGACCUUUGGAAGAGCAGUCAGUGCUCUUAACCACUGAAUUAUCUCUCCAGCCCAUAUAAAAUAAAUAACACAUUAAAUAAACAAAUAAAUAAAUAAAACAUAAAAUAAAUAAGUAAAUCUUUACC
rnacentral:lncRNA from 1 species